rnacentral:lncRNA from 1 species
AUGUGGCUGCUACACCAAGUGCAACAAGCAGAAUGCUGCGAUUGGUGGAUAUUUCUAUGGCCCUGGGAAAGGAGGCAUACUUCUGGCUCCCUUCAGUGUGAUAUAAGCCCAGGAACUCGCCUUUCCUUCCGCAUCGGGGGUGCCAAGCCACCUGUAACAAGGGCAUUGCCUCGAAGCAGGUGCUACUGCUGUCCCUAUGGAGACGCAGCGGCGGAGUGCGGAAGGGGCAGACGAGCUCUGGAUCAAAGGCGCAGGGCCGGCCCUCCUCCCCCGCCCCGCGGAUUUCAUGCUCGCCUGGCUCUGCGGAGGGACGGCGCGCCGCUGAACAGCCCCGCCGGGCAGCGCCAGCAUGGCCGAGGAGAGCGCCGAGCUCCCCCGCGAGCUCAUCGAAAGCAUCAGGGAUGUUAUUGGGAGGAAAAUCAAAAUUUCAGUCAAGAAGAAAGUAAAGCUGGAAACCAAGGGAGACAAAGUGGAUAACAAAAUACUGCCAUGUUUACAGGGAAGGCUGGCAGUUUCACUGAAGCAGUAACACUUGAUUGACUUCUUGGCUUACACAGAAUCAUUAUUGAUAUCAAUAGUGAAAUACAUUGUGGAAGUACUGUAGUACCGUUGUGACCUAAUGGGACCAAAAGGAUGUCAAGCUUUGAAUCCUCAGUGUAGCAUCUGAG